UGGGGAAUAUUGCGCAAUGGGCGAAAGCCUGAUCCAGCCAUGCCGCGUGAACGAUGAAGGCCUUAGGGUUGUAAAGUUCUUUUGUCAGGGAAGAUAAUGACGGUACCUGAAGAAUAAGCACCGGCUAACUUCGUGCCAGCAGCCGCGGUAAUACGAAGGGUGCUAGCGUUGUUCGGAAUCACUGGGCGUAAAGCGCGCGUAGGCGGCUUAACAAGUCAGAGGUGAAAGCCUGGAGCUCAACUCCAGAACUGCCUUUGAAACUGUUAAGCUUGAGUGUCGGAGGGGAUAGCGGAAUUUCUAAUGUAGAGGUGAAAUUCGUAGAUAUUAGAAGGAACACCGGUGGCGAAGGCGGCUAUCUGGACGACAACUGACGCUGAGGCGCGAAAGCGUGGGGAUCAAACAGGAUUAGAUACCCCCGUAGUCCCUGAGCGGGCUGGCAAGGCGCAU
rnacentral:rRNA from 1 species